rfam:Felis catus isolate Cinnamon breed Abyssinian chromosome D2, whole genome shotgun sequence.
GCCUGGGUGGCUCAGUCAGUUGAGCGUCUGACUUCGGCUCAGGUCAUGAUCUCACAGUUUGUGAGUUCAAGCCCCACGUCAGGCU